GAUGAAGAACGUAGUGAAAUGCGAUAAGUAAUGUGAAUUGCAGAAUUCAGUGAAUCAUCGAAUCUUUGAACGCAUCUUGCGCUCCUUGGUAUUCUGAGGAGCAUGCCUGUUUGAGUGUCAUUAAAUUCUCAACUACACUGACUUUGAAUUGGUGUGGCUUGGAUUUGGGGGGAAAAUUGUUGUGGGCUUUUUGUAUAGUCUGCUCCCCUGAAAUUGAUUAGCGGUACCUUUGUGGAACUGUCUACAGGUGUGAUAAUUAUCUACAUCUUAGACAUCUGCUGGAAUGCUGCUCUCUAAACCUUACUUGUAUUGACAAUCUUGACCUCAAAUCAGGUAGGACUACCCGCUGAACUUAAGCAUAUCAUAAGCGGAGGA
rnacentral:misc_RNA from 1 species